GGAAGAGUUUGUUUUGUAUCGUGUGUGUUCCCCACGCAUUUUGGUGUGUGUGCUGCCUGUGGUGCUAUGUGGCGUGCCCUGCGGCUGCUGUGGUUGAGACACGGGCACCAGUUACCGGCAGUGUUACCAAGUCCCCGCGCCCUGGCCUGCCCCACGCCGCCACGCACCACGCAGGAAUAAGAGAAGAGGGAGAAGAGCAGAUAGAUAAUACGAAGAAGAAGAAGAAUAAAGAGCUGAAGGGCAGAUAGGGUAAGUAGAAGGAGGAAGAGGAGGAGGAGGAGGAGGAGGAGAAGAAGAAGAAGAUGAAGGUAAAA